UACAGAGGUCCCAAGCGUUGUUCGGAUUCACUGGGCGUAAAGGGUGCGUAGGUGGCGGGGUAAGUCUGAUGUGAAAUCUCCAAGCUUAACUUGGAAAUGGCAUUGGAAACUACCUCGCUAGAGGGUUGGAGGGGAGACUGGAAUUCCUGGUGUAGCGGUGAAAUGCGCAGAUAUCAGGAGGAACACCGGUGGCGAAGGCGGGUCUCUGGGCCGAUACUGACGCUGAGGAGCGAAAGCGUGGGGAGCGAACAGG
rnacentral:rRNA from 1 species